AAAAUCUGGAAUAAAUUAUUUCAUAUUUUAGCCAAUCAGAGCAGAGCUCACAAAAAUGGAACCAAUAACAAUGGUGAAAUCUCAUCGAAAUCAACCAAUGAAAUCAGGCCACCAAAUGAUCUUAAUAUACACGUCAAUCACUUUUUACACAGAAGAUGCCCCAAGACAAGACUCAACAAUGAAAGAAAAAGAUGCCAAUUUUCUCUUGACUGUGAGCACUCAUAAAGAAUGCAACCAAAGUCGUAUCCUGAAGUUGAAAUUUGAAACAAAGAUAAAACG